AGACCCGAAACCCGGUGAUCUAGCCAUGGGCAGGUUGAAGGUUGGGUAACACUAACUGGAGGACCGAACCGACUAAUGUUGAAAAAUUAGCGGAUGACCUGUGGCUGGGGGUGAAAGGCCAAUCAAACCGGGAGAUAGCUGGUUCUCCCCGAAAGCUAUUUAGGUAGCGCCUCGUGAAUUCAUCUCCGGGGGUAGAGCACUGUUUCGGCUAGGGGGCCAUCCCGGCUUACCAACCCGAUGCAAACUGCGAAUACCGGAGAAUGUUAUCACGGGAGACACACGGCGGGUGCUAACGUCCGUCGUGAAGAGGGAAACAACCCAGACCGCCAGCUAAGGUCCCAAAGUCAUGGUUAAGUGGGAAACGAUGUGGGAAGGCCCAGACAGCCAGGAUGUUGGCUUAGAAGCAGCCAUCAUUUAAAGAAAGCGUAAUAGCUCACUGGUCGAGUCGGCCUGCGCGGAAGAUGUAACGGGGCUAAACCAUGCACCGAAGCUGCGGCAGCGACACUCAGGUGUUGUUGGGUAGGGGAGCGUUCUGUAAGCCUGCGAAGGUGGCCUGUGAGGGUUGCUGGAGGUAUCAGAAGUGCGAAUGCUGACAUAAGUAACGAUAAAGCGGGUGAAAAGC
rnacentral:rRNA from 1 species